rnacentral:rRNA from 1 species
GGUCAAGCGAAUAAGUGCAUGUGGUGGAUGCCUUGGCGAUUACAGGCGAUGAAGGACGUAGUAGCCUGCGAUAAGCCCCGGGGAGCUGGCAAACAAGCUUUGAUCCGGGGAUUUCCGAAUGGGGAAACCCAACCCGCAAGGGUUACUCCUACCUGAAUACAUAGGGUAGGUAGAGCGAACCUGCUGAACUGAAACAUCUAAGUAGGCAGAGGAAAAGAAAUCAACCGAGAUUCCGUAAGUAGUGGCGAGCGAACAUGGAAUAGCCUGUUAUUUUUAGCACAUGCGAUAGUAGAACGGAAUGGAAAGUCCGGCCAUAGAGGGUGAUA